GCACAUUUACAGCCCUCUUCCUUGCAGUCUUAACUACUGGGGAAGGAUUUCUGGUAAUAAAAAAAGUUGCUACACUGGACCUGCCAGAUUGCAGUUUAUUUAUGAUGUCUGAGGAUUACAUUCAUCUUCUCUGCUCCAGGACCUUCUCCAGUGCUUCUUUGGCACCAGAUGAAAACUUUUAUUCUUUCUUCCAUCUUAAUUAUUGUUGGAUGUAUCUCACAAGGUCAUUUUCGGAUCAAUAUCAGCUUUUGGAAUUAAAAACAUGGGGAGUACAGCACUGCUGAGCAUGCGGGCACGUCUUUGUGAUAAUUAGCGUGCCCCAGCCGUCCAGUUAUCGUACAGAAUCGAUGUCAUUGAGUUUGUAAGUACUUUCAAAUGAUAUUCCGUUAGUUGUUUCAGUCUUCUGGGGCCCCAGUCAUUGAUCCACCUACCCUGGGGUAGUGGUACCCCUCAUCUCUUACAAAUCCCAUGCUCCAUGACCAUAGGGCUUCAACUCAGAGGCGGAGAGGUACCAGCUUUCUGUAGUCAGAUGAUGUGAUCAGUCACAUGAGGAACAUGCAGAUGCAAUGGCUCUUAUGGGUUCGUCAAACCACACAUGUGAAUGAAGGAAGUUAACCUUUCUCCCAGGAUUGCGACCUCUUCUCUGCAUGCCAGCAGGUUGGUGCAGUUUGGAGGCUUCUAUUUUUAUAGGGUCCAGCACAGACGGCUUCCAGCGGACCAGACGGGCGUCGUCCUGGGAGGCGUCGUCCUCGGACUCCAGAUGAGCCAGAAGGUGCAGCGGGACCAAGGUCAUCGCCAGGGGUCAGUGUAAGGUGGACAAUCCUGGGGAAUGCCUGCAUAUCAGGAAUGCUUUUAUUCAGCCCUAUCUGCAGAUUUACACAGCAGCAUGGCCCCGCCCACCAGUUCGAACCUGCAACACAUGGGUUCAAAGAUUAUAUAACCUUAAACCCCAUUCAUCGUGCUGCUUUGUUAUAUAUGCUCUGUCCUGGUUAAAUAUAUGUGGUGUCUCCACAUAUGCAUGACACUGUAACUCUACCCCUUCGCCAGAAUGUGUGGCCCGGUACGUUAAAAUGCUGUGCUUCUCAUCAGAAGGCUGAUUGCCAGACUGAUGUCACCAUUGGGCCCCUGAGCAAGGCCCUUAACCCCCAUUUGCUCCAGGGACUGGUUGACCCUGCCUUCUUGGCUCGUACCAAAGGUGGGCUCUAUAUUGCUCAAGUUGCUUUUCUGGAAGCUCCCCUUCCACAGGGGACACUACAAACUACUCAUCAUUAGGAACCAGCAUGUGGAACCCUUCAGCUGGAGAAGAUUUGAGGUGUGGUGUAGCCUGGCUCUGUAGCGACCGUUUGAAGGCCGGGCAGCCAAUUAGGUGAGAUCUUCUGAGGGAAUGCUGACUUAACAACCCACCCUUCCUCACCAUCCAAGACAAAGGGGGCUACUGACAGUGAAGUCUGCCUGGAAUACAUCACUGGCUUUGACCAGCACUGGGUUGAAGGGCAGCAGAUCCCCGCUUUGUACCCCCAGUUAGAAGCAACACUUCCUGUACACACACCCUGCAGUGUAUUUGUCCUGCAAUCUCACCUCAAACUAUUAAUCGUUCAUCCUUUACCUUUACUUAAAGGGCACACCAGGAUCUCCCAUUUACAUUCCAUUCAGUCGUUAUUUCUAAUUAAGCUGAGUGGCAACAAAUAUUGCCACCUAAUUGUCCCGUUAAAGACCUGAUCGUGAAGGAUGGUGCAUGAAAAAUGGGGUAAUUAUGCAUUUAAUAGCAAGGUGCGCUAUGUAAAGUUAAUGUUUCAAAAAUGUUGCAUUUGUAUGCAAAUUGUCCUGAAAAUAAUACCCAGCAGCAUCUGCUCAGAAUCUAUUCUGGGCCUGAAAUUGGCAGGUUUGUGACGGAAAUCAAGGUGGGUGGGCGGCACCUCGGUUAAUAAAUGUCACAGUUUUAAUUAGCUCUAUUUAAGUUAGCAUUGCCAGUGUUUAGUUUCAUUAUGGUUACCGCAAUUCCAUCAAUGAGCUGAAUGGUAUUUACAUGUAGCAAAGGCACUGCUAGGUAUUUAAUCAAGUCGAUAUGUUGGUUAAUGAGCACCCCCAGAUGAGAUUUGUGCAUUCACUGUAGAUUAUCCUGUAUGUUUAAUUAGCGGUAGAGCGCCAUCUGGGGGAACUCUGCUGCACUAACAUCAUCACGGGCCUAACAGCUCUCUCAGCAGUGUUGUUGACGUGUUUCCUGCCCCCUCAGGUGAAGGUGGGGUUCUUACAUGCCGCAUGUCUUGUAACAGCGCCGCCCUAGCUGCCUGCCUUGGCACCAGACUAUGGGAAAUCCUUAGAGUACUUUAUGCUUUUCUCCGUAAGCAGCACUCCCCUAUGUUCUCGUCCCCAUGGAAACAGCCCCCUGCCCCAAUUCUGGGCUUCAGGGUGGUGUUCCGGAUUAUGCAGGACGUACAUUCAAUUGGGAGGCUCAUGGGGGAGGGGGAGAGAUGGAGACAACGGGGCCAAGGUAGGUGUAAUAAAUAAAAAGUGACCUUGGUUUGUAGGGACCAGCAACGUGUGCACAGAAAUGUACGUAGUGUGUGGCCACGCAUUUGUGACCCCUCCGUCGCUAACGACACGUCACGCCAAUGGCAGGAGGUGCUGGUGCAACUGCAUCUGACAUAUUCUUGGCUGUGAAAAGCAAAACCCUUAAAAAGAUGAGUGUAGUCUGAUGAAUAGAGUAGAGACCAUCAGAGUUGGCAUCUCUAGACCGGCAGCAUUCGUGGAGGCUAGCUGUGGUUGAUGCCCUUGAUGUCAACAGCGGCACCAUCCAUCCAUCCAUCCAUCCAUCCAUCCAUCCAUCCAUCCAUCCAUCCAUCCAUCCUCUAACCGCUUACCCUGCUCAAUUUUAUAGGUUGUUAAGAACAUAAUUAUUGCAUUAUUAUUGUGGUGUUUUAUAAUCUGUUAGGGCUUUGUUCAGCAGUUGUCUCAUGCUAUAUAUGAAUUGUACAUUUGUUUCAAGGCGAAUCAACUUCUAAAUCUUCUUUGUGGUACCUGGUAUUUUUCACUGAUGCUCCUGAGCAUGGAUGAGACCGAAAGGCCCCAGGAGGAAGGUCAGCUCAUUUCUGAGACCUGUUCACCUCUACAUACACGUCCUAAGCUGGGGGAUGGACCACAUCCGAGUUCCACAUACAAGGUUUUCCAGACUCUUCGUGUCCCUUCCUUCUUAUGCCGGUCACCGCAACCCUCUACUAGAUCAGUGGUUAUGGAUGGAUGGUCUGACUAACGAUCCUGCUUUGUUUCUCCCUGCUUCCUGAUCUCCUGAGUUAAGUUGCCCUCUGCUAGGUCUGUACUUUCAAUCCUUCAAAUUUCUCAGGCUGCUUUUACCUCGGACCACACCGUGACCCUAGAGCUCAUGUGUAGAUUUUGAAGGCCCUGUGUAGAUUUUGAAGGCCCCGUGUAGAUGCUGGAGCUCCUGUGUAAAUGUCACACCUUGGUUUCUGAGGUCACAUCCACACUGUUACAUUUUCGUUUAAAAACUAAACGAAAAUGAUCUCCAUGCGAAAGUAUUUCCAUCCAGACUAAAAUGAGCAAAAACAUGCAUGAUGUUUAUUUUAGCCCACAUUGGGCAUGCAUGCAUCGAGGUCAGACGAAAGAGUUCCUCUGGUUCCUCACCCGGGACAGGAGAAGGAAGGGGUGAGUAGGGUCCGCGUUCAUGGUUUGAGGUUCCGCAAGCGUUUGGCCUCUUGAGUUGACACCAAGAGGAUGGGUGCAGCUGACGAAUGGCACAAAUCAUGUUCAGUCAAAUUCCUCACCUAAAGGUCUUGCUUUAUUAUACCAAGAAUGUCAACGGACCCUUGGAGCCCUGCAAUGAUGUGACCUUUGGCUUGGGUGUAGGCUGUGGGUGCGUCACAGAUUUGGGCAGGGAGUUGAGUACCUGAUCUUUACCCUUGGGUUUAAAAAUGUGCACCUCUUCCAUACCCUGCAAGUGACUGACUUUCUUUCCAGCUCCCCUCCCCUCCUAUGUCCCUAAGAAAUGGAAAUACAUUUUCUCUUGUGUGCCAAAAAACAUGAUAGGGAAGUCGAGCUGCCAAAUAACUGCCUCUCGUCAUCCUGAAAUAACCAGCAUGUGUAUAUCUGAAGGGUAACGCUUCAUUCUCCUCUGAUGAAACCUUCCUGGCCAAGGAAGGAGAUUUAAGUUUAAGCCAUCGAAGCAGAGAAUUAUCACUCCAUCGCCAGUGUGGUUGUUAAAUCAGAGCGAGGGUGAAGGUGAAUUUGCACAAAUCGUUAGAGCUUUAUAAAGGAAAUGGCUUAGCAGAGGAAGCUUUUAUGGAAACGUUACUUAGUCAUCACGGAAAAUUGGUAUUUACUUCGUUGCAGAGGCUAACCUGGGCUAUAGUCUGGGACCCUGACAAACCUCUGGGCCAUCCGCUGCCUUGGGAGAAAUGAAAGAGUUAAUUAAAUCGGCAGCACCUGAGCAUGCAUGGUGAAGUCAGCCGAGGGCCGCCAGAUAAGUGAAUCCCCCCCCCGCUUUAGUAUUUAUUUGAGUAGGUCUUCCAGAGUAGGGGCCUCCAGAUCUAGUGUCCUUAACCACUGCGCCACCUGCUGCCCAGUACUAUUAUUUUCGAAAGAUAUUUUCGAAAUUGAGCUUCUGCUUUUAAUGCCCAUGUUCUGGCAUGUCAAAACAUGCCUUUUCUGCUGUUUACAAUGAGUGGCACCUACCCACUCAUUGCCGUCGGAUCACCCGAGAAGUCGAGAUAUUUAUUUUACACAUCACAUCUAGACCUCCGACCCAUCGCUCGGUCAGUGUUAUCGGUUAUGAAUUUUCCGGCAACGUGCCUUCGUGCGGUCAGAGCAGGCAGGGGGCAGACAGCUAGGCAGGCGCUAUCACGUCUGCCUCCCUCUGCUAGCCUCCCAUCUGCCACUGCCUGCUUUCGUAGCUCGGCUGGUAGCGUGAGGACUGCGGAAGUGUAGCGAUGGACGCCCAUAGGUUACUGGUUCAUGUCCAGCUUGAGGAGUAUCGAUUUCCUUCUCUGACAAACUCUGCACUGUUUCUUAUUCUCUUUUUACUCUCUGAAUGUGAGUUGUGGUGCUACUGUAAACCUACCAUUUCCUUUGUGGUUAAUGAAUUAUCUAUCUGGCUGCCUUGCCUGUCUGUCUGCCUGUCCGUCUAAUCUUGCAUUUCAUCCUCAACUUAUAAACUUUUCCUAUCUUGAAAUGAUCUAUUUAUAAUCUUCCUGUUUUAACUAAAAAUGAAGACUUCAGGGUGACACUGCAGGGGAAUGGGUCAGCGAGGAACUAGAGAGGAGAACUCACUUAUUAAGAAGGAGCGACUCUUCUUCAUAAAAACACGCUCUGGUUUAUUACAUUCAGCCAUGUUUGAAAACAGGCAUCGUCCUCCAGCAGGGCCUCACGGGCAGGGUGCGGCCAAGCCGUGCCGAUUCUGCACCAAAGACUUUAAAAUCAAUCUGCCUUGCAUUACGUCAUCUUUUAUUCAUUUUAUUCCCUUUUCUCCUGCUUUGGGCUGCGGGUCCGUCGGCCUCUAACAGGCCUAUCGGCAUUUCGAGACGUGCGCGAAUCGAGACUCGGGCCGGGUCACUAAGUGUCAAGUACCCUUGACAUUUUCCUCUUUACAUUGUGGACUGUGGAAAUCCCCAGUUAAACAUUAUCACAAACCAGAAGCUUUUUUUCUAUCUGAAAAUGCCACCAGACUAGAACAGAAGUAUUGAAUCUGGCUCUUUGAUCGUUGUUAUUUCCUGUGAUGUACAACAGCUUAAAAUAAGUAGACCUUAAGCGUGGUACUAAUAAGAGAAUGUCCCCUCUCAGUAUGUUUUGUUAAUUUUUAUGUGUGGUGUGGACAUUCAUAUAUGAAUAAUGGUUUAAUUUGAUAUUUUCUAGUUAAAAUUUUUUAUGCUUUUGCAAUUCAUCAUUAAAAGCUCCUUUCUUUUUAAUUUUACAGAAAAAGACAUCAGCUGAAUGAACUGCACCAAUAAGUUUUACGAAGUGCCAGGAAUCCAAGCCUAAUCCCGUUACAUGGCAUAUUGAUGGCAUACAGCGUCUACGGCCAGGCGGUUACAUGUUGAAUUUAUGAUUUCGCUUGCUUUAAUAAAAGAUUAUUAAACUAUUAAACGGUGCUGUUCCUGUAAUCAGUAUUCCAAUUAAAAAAAUCUGAUUAUUAUGUUUUAUUCCCAUAGAAUGGUCCAACAAAUUUUACGGUUACAAUCAGCAGAAAAGUAUAAAUAUUAAUGACAUUAAAAUUAUUAAUAUUAAUUAUUAAGCUGUGGGUUAAAAUACAUACAGAUCCGCACUUGAUCCUCCAUGCUUUGUGCCCUUUAUAAGCUAAAGUAGCGUCAUCUGUGCUUUGUGUUCUACAGGAGUUAUCUUAACAUCACGUCUGCUUUGUGUUCUGCAGUGAAUCAUUUAUGGGUUGCCACAACGUUCACUGUGCUUUUAUGUCCUUCCUGGGUUACCAUAACAUCACCAGCAUAUAAGGGAGAGUGUGAAUAUAUAUAUAUUUUUUUCUACCUGCACAGAAUGAGUGAUCUGCUUUUCCCGGUCCUGUACAUGACGGAAUAGGACGCCGGUACCUCCCGACCCUCCGUGUCCUUCAUGGGCCGAGAGCUAAAGAGAGGAUUGGCCUAUCGCACAAAGGGAGACCCAGCAAGGACGGGCAGACCAUGCAAACGUCACACGCAUGACAACUUUCAACCCUGGAGGUGUGAGCGUACAGUGUUACCCACUGCAACACUGUGGCGUCCACUAUAUGACUACAAGUCAUCACCAUGGGCUCCCCCAGAUUCACAGGGCUCGGGUCACCUGCACUCCGGGUUCCGAUGGCUUCUGAUUGGCUGAAAAAGCUCAGCUCCUUGGAUGUGUUUGGCUCGUGGGAGAAGAGUGCCUUCAUCCAAUCAGCAAGCCCACAUCUUUUCAUGCCAAAAACUGAACUACAGUAGAGUGGCGGUUUCUCAUUUGGGGACAGGGGGAUAAGUUCUCUGUUUGUCAAAUGCCCCAGUUUGCUGAAGAGCUUGUAAAUACACUCUUCAGAGUUCUGUGCUCUUUGGAGACAUUUUCUUCAUUCCUUGAGUAUUUCUCCCAGAAUCCCAAUUCUGUAUAUUUGCUCCUGAAGUCUUUCAUGUUUCCCAUUGAUCUUGCUCUGCCAUUGGUUGCUUUUGCUUUUUUCCCAUUGAACGGCACUUGUGAUGACUAAAGAAGGUUACCCCCCAUUUCAAGGCGAAAAAAUGCAGCUGAAGUACAAUUUAAUUACAGCUCGAGGAAUCUGUUCCAUUAAUUAAAAAGCUGAAGUGAGCCAUCAGCAAAUCUGCUCCUCCUUUGGGUUUCAUCGACCC